GGGACACGACAAGGGGGGUGGGUGGAUGGGGGGGGAGGUAAGUCAGCAUUGCCAUGGCGACAAGGACCUUCCAGCACAAAAAUGAGGCGGCUUUUCUUUUCUCGGGCAACGCGGCCUUCUAUCGCCAUAGCAACACACCUUUCCCACUGCUGCAAGAGCUUCAAAAAUAAAAACAAGAACAACUCUAUGGUUUUGGAACACCUACAAAAGAAACAAACUGCAUGGCGUACUGCCAGUUUCAAGCAAUAACAACUUCUCUUUUUUUCCCCGUGAAUCCAAGUUUGUUUGCUGUGGCUGCCUAAGAAUAGCACAAACGGCUCCAAACCCUUCCGGUCUUUACUACGCCAGCUGUCACGCAGGCAGGAAGGCAGAGGGAGAGGCAGGAGGCAGAGACGGAGUCGGAGAGCGAGCCAGGUUAACACUUUCUGCAGUCCUGUAUCUUUCACUGGGGAAGCAAAGCACUGAUUUACAUUGAAGGCAUGGGAAAACAUCAAGAUGUUAAAUUUCUGGUGUUUCCAUUACCUCCCAGAUGUGGGACCUGAAACAGAAAUAAAAGCAAUCCAAAGAUUCUCCAUCUCUCCGCGAAAACUGUGGGACUAAUUUAAAGUGUGAUGUUUCCUAAAACGGACAACAUUCACGAAGCACCUGGCACCUUUGGUGCAUUGUUUACUGUAUCUGUUGGCAUUGUGGGCUUCAAAAAACCAAGACACUUUUUACCUUUGUAGGAAUUGUGUUCACCUUUGACCUGUAUCCCUUCUCCCACGUUUUCAUGUCCUUUCAGGAGUUGUGAUUGGGUUACAAAAUUAAAUAGUAGAGUCAAGUGGAAGCAUGCUCUGUAAUCUCUGCAAUUUUCAGGACAAACACCCUCUUCUCUAGACUGCAGCUCUGUGACUGGGUGUGCGUUCUUCUCUUAUCUUUUUGGGGUUACUAAAUUACCAGGAACAAAUAAUUCCAGCAAUAUUUCUGUGAGGGAGGGUGUUUUGGUUCGCACCCAUCCUCACAUCCUGUCUCUGAGUGUGUGUCUCUCUCUCUCCCACCGUGACCUCCUCCAGCAGUUUAAAUCCCUGCAAUUUUUCCAGGCGGAUAAGAACAAGAGUGCGGGGGCUGUGGGCGAAGCUAAUCUGUUAACCUUUGAAAAUUUGUGGACCAAACCGUUGAAAAUUAAAAGCUUAAUGCUGUUUAUCCUUGACCCCCGCAUAUCAAUUCUUGCACUGCUGUUCAGAGUUGGAGAGCUGAGAAUGAAGUGGUACAGGCUAGGGCUCGUAAAAGACACAGAUACGAGGAGCAGAGGAAAAAUGCUCCUUCUGAAUCUAAAAAGGAGGAAAAGUUACACUUUUGAAUCUUUCCCAGUGUUUUCCAUGGUCAUUUCACAAUUCUACCACACCAUUAUGAAUGGUUUUAUUAAAAUAGCCAGGAGAAGGGUGAGCAAAAAAGGAAAAAAAUAGACAAAUUUGAUCAUAUUUUUUUUCCUUUCCAAAUUUCUGCGAUGACCUUAGCAUGAGCCAACACGCCAGUUCUGGAUUAAAUUCAUGUGAGCUAACAAAGACUGUCUACCCAAAAGUUUAAGAUGUGUUUUCUUUAUUUCUUCCUGCCAUCUUAUUUAUAUAGGAAUUCUGUGCCUUUUUAAAGUUAACAAGGAAUUGUUCAACAGCACUCAUUCUCCUCUUGAGGCAAAGUUGGUCUACAGGGGACGCUGUGAAGCUUCUGUGACUCAGACACAUGCCAAACAUCCACUUAAGUCAACUUUGAGAGUUCAUUUUGAGAAAGGAAAAACAUAUUUGUAGUAGGCUCACACAAAAAUCAAAGGGUUCUCCAUUUCAGAGUGUUUUUGAAGAGGCUGACUGUGUUCCUAAAUGUGGUUUGCCAUUCUUGAAGCCUGUAAGUGAGAUGAUGGUGACACAAGUUAUCUGCACUGCACUGCACUGGGACAGCUGACAGGGGGGUCAUUAAAGUCGCCAAAAAAAAAGAGAAUACAGGAGAGAAUAGGGAAGCAAGAACAGAAAGAAGGCCUUUUCAUUUUCAAGAAUUAAAACCUACUAUUCACUACCGUUAUUUAGAAAUAACGCAGAAAGAAAAAGAUAAGAAUAAAAUCAGAAGCAGGGGAAAGGUCUUCAACUUUCUUGCAUUCUCUUUCAAGACAGCAAAAGUAUG